CCUACGGGUGGCAGCAGUGAGGAAUAUUGGUCAAUGGACGAGAGUCUGAACCAGCCAAGUAGCGUGAAGGAUGACUGCCCUAUGGGUUGUAAACUUCUUUUAUAUGGGAAUAAAAUGUUCCACGUGUGGGAUUUUGUAUGUACCCUAUGAAUAAGGCUCGGCUAACUCCGUGCCAGCAGCCGCGGUAAUCCGGAGGAUCCGAGCGUUAUCCGGAUUUAUUGGGUGUAAAGGGAGCGUAGGUGGAUGGUUAGGUCAGUUGUGAAAGUUUGCGGCUCAACCGUAAAAGUGCAGUUGAAACUGGCAGGCUGGAGUACAGUAGAGGUGAGCGGAAUUCGUGGUGUAGCGGUGAAAUGCUUAGAUAUCACGAAGAACUCCGAUUGCGAAGGCAGUUCACUGGACUGCAACUGACACUGAGGCUCGAAAGUGUGGGUAUCAAACAGGAUUAGAUACCCUAGUAGUC
rnacentral:rRNA from 1 species